rnacentral:rRNA from 1 species
GAGUUUGAUCUUGGCUCAGAUUGAACGCUGGCGGCAUGCCUUACACAUGCAAGUCGAACGGCAGCAUGAUCUAGCUUGCUAGAUUGAUGGCGAGUGGCGAACGGGUGAGUAAUACAUCGGAACGUGCCCUGUAGUGGGGGAUAACUAGUCGAAAGAUUAGCUAAUACCGCAUACGACCUGAGGGUGAAAGUGGGGGACCGGCAAGGCCUCAUGCUAUAGGAGCGGCCGAUGUCUGAUUAGCUAGUUGGUGGGGUAAAGGCCCACCAAGGCGACGAUCAGUAGCUGGUCUGAGAGGACGAUCAGCCACACUGGGACUGAGACACGGCCCAGACUCCUACGGGAGGCAGCAGUGGGGAAUUUUGGACAAUGGGCGAAAGCCUGAUCCAGCAAUGCCGCGUGUGUG